AGCGUAGACGGCAAGGCAAGUCUGAUGUGAAAACCCAGGGCUUAACCCUGGGACUGCAUUGGAAACUGUCUGGCUCGAGUGCCGGAGAGGUAAGCGGAAUUCCUAGUGUAGCGGUGAAAUGCGUAGAUAUUAGGGAGAACACCAGUGGCGAAGGCGGCUUACUGGACGGUAACUGACGUUGAGGCUCGAAAGCGUGGGGAGCAAACA
rnacentral:rRNA from 1 species